CAAAUGGCCACGAGGUGGAAUGCAGCUCAGGGUAAUCUGAGCGGAAAAUACUGCGGGGUCUGUGUGUGUGCUCAGGGGCUCUGAUAUCAUCAGUGCCUAUCAUUAUCAAUAAUUUUAUUAUCAUGAAUUUCUUCAAGUUUAGGGCUUGUAAUACUAGCAGACAUUGAAUGCGCUAAAAAUAAGGAACUUAUGGAUGAUAAUUCGCAAAGGUGCUUGUUGGCAUUCUAUCGUUUUCUAAGUAUAGUACACACAUUUUUCGUGGUCGAUUUCUUCAUCAUUCUUGUUAAACAUGAUAUAAUUAUGUAUCUUUACAGUUACUA